rnacentral:rRNA from 1 species
AUGAACUCCGGCGCCACUGCCGCCGUAGCGCAGAACCGACGCACGCGCAGCCGUCCGCCGUCGGCCGCCUCCUCCCGCAAGUCAGAUGAUCCCUCCGCCGCUGUCGCCAACGGAAACGGGAAGGCCCCCUCCAAGCCCACCUCUCCCAACCACGUCGCAGGGGAGAGGACGGUCAAGAAGCUGCGGCUGUCGAAGGCGCUGACGAUCCCGGAGGGGACGACGGUGUCAGAGGCGUGCCGGCGGAUGGCGGCCAGGCGGGUCGACGCCGUGCUGCUCACCGACGUCAACGGCCUCCUCUCCGGCAUUGUCACCGACAAGGACAUAGCCACAAGGGUUAUUGCCGAGGGGCUGCGGGUUGAGCAAACAAUCAUAUCCAAGAUCAUGACACGCAGCCCUCAUUAUGUCACAGCUGACACACUUGCUAUCGAGGCACUACAGAAAAUGGUCCAAGGGAAAUUUAGACACCUUCCUGUGGUUGAUAAUGGUGAGGUUAUUGCCAUGCUGGACAUUGCAAAAUGCCUCUAUGAUGCAAUAUCAAGACUGGAGAAGGCAGCAGAACAAGGAAGUGCACUUGCAGCUGCUGUAGAAGGGGUUGAGCGCCAAUUCGGUAGCAACUUCUCAGCUCCUUCCACUUUAAUAGAAACUAUAAGAGAACGGAUGUUUAAACCUUCUUUGUCAACCAUUAUCACGGAAAGCACAAAAGUAGCGAUUGUUUCUCCUUCAGAUCCUGUUUAUGUAGCCGCCCAAAAAAUGCGUGAACUACGUGUUAAUUCAGUGGUUAUAACUACCGGAAAUUUGCUGCAAGGGAUCUUUACCUCAAAGGAUGUGCUUAUGCGUGUUGUGGCACAAAAUCUUUCUCCCGAAUUAACUCUAGUAGAAAAGGUAAUGACUGCACACCCUGAUUGUGCUACAUUGGACACGUCAAUUCUGGACGCAUUACAUAUAAUGCAUGAUGGCAAAUUCUUGCAUAUUCCUGUUGUUGAUGGAGAUGGUAGAGUUGUUGCUUGUUUGGAUGUUCUGCAACUUACCCAGGCAGCCAUUUCUAUGGCUGAAGGAGGUUCUGGAGCUGCAAAUGAUGUAGCAAACACAAUGAUGCAGAAGUUCUGGGACUCUGCUCUUGCUUUGGAGCCUCCAGAUGAGGAAUUUGAUAGCCAGAGUGAAAUAUCCUUAGUGAUGCCGUCAGAGGUCGGAGAUGGCAGGAGUAGCAUUUAUCCUGCUGCUGUUGGCAAUUCUUUUGCCUUCAAGCUUCAGGACAAGAAGGGACGUAUGCAUAGAUUUACAUGCGGUUCUGAGAGUUUAGAUGAGCUUAUGUCUUCUAUAACACAAAGAUUAGGCACUGGUGGUGAAAAGGGCCCAAUUCAACUUUUGUAUGACGAUGAUGAAGGUGAUAGGGUGCUGCUUACUACAGAUUCUGAUCUUGCCGGUGCUGUUCUCAAUGCCAAAUCAUCCGGAUUGAAGGUCCUGAGGUUGCACAUUGACAACUCGGAUUCCAGUUCUGAAGUUAAAAAGCAAUUGCCGGAGCUAGUGCCUCUCCAAAAAAGUCAGUUGAUGCCUGCUCAUUACGGGCUAAUGGCUGGCGCUAUUGCCCUGACAGGCGUCGUGCUCGUGGUUUACUUGAAGCGCUCAAAAGUGUGA